AAGUGCCUCCCCGUGUCCUGGAGAGGCGGGUGGCGUCAUUCCUAUCUUCUUACUUUUCCUCCUGAAUAUGGGAUGUGAGGUGCGGAUCACUUUUAAAUUAUAUUCCCAGAUGAUAAACCAGCAGCCCAGAAUAUGCAGCCAUGUAAUUGAAUCGAGAUGAAAACGUUAAUGCAGAAACGAUGACCAGCGGGCAGCUAUUUUGGGACCAUCGCUGAAGUGACCGAAGCAGUGGACUCGAUUUCAUCGGAGAAGCUCUGCACCCAUUACCAUCUUAGUAAAAAAUGGGCUAAUUCGGGGACGCAGCCCGUGCCAUUACACUCUGGACCCAAAUGUGGCUGUCAGUGCCCCUGGACGGAUGAGGCGGCCUAUUUUUAUCAUCUGUCCACCUCCGGCUGAGGCAGGACUGUUGCUUCUCCCAGCCCUCGGGUGUCCAGGGGCACAGGGUUGUGAGAAGCCGUGUCUUGUGAAGCUCCCUUGGCUGGCGGGCAGGGCCGAGGGCCACUGUGGCAAGGUGGUGGGCCCAGCCCCAUAGAGGCGGCCAGAGGGUGAAAACUGCUUCCUCUCACAAGGACGGGGUGCCCAGGUGGGCUGCCUGACGGACAAGGGGAAAACCUCCGCCCUUCCUGCUCUUCCCUUUGACUAACCUCCAGAGUUGUGGGGAAACAGCCCUGUGUCUGGAAGCAUCUGGAUUCCGGCUGGAACCCUGCUGGAGUCUCCCCUGGACGGUGGCACUGCCCAUCGUAGUAGAGUCAGAAGAGCCUCCUUCGCCAAGUGCUAAACGGCACCACCUGAAGACGCUUACAGGGAGAAGCUCCAAGGGACUUAACUAAAUCACCUCCGAGAGGUGGUGCACCUGGGGGACCCGCCCACCAGCACCAGGCGGAGAGACGUGAACCGAGGUCAGCAGAGCUCAGGCUGUGACCAGCCAGACGCCGCUUCUCCUCCAGGGCUCCGGUUUGCUCUGAUGAGGGACCUGGAGCUCCCACAUGGCCUGGGGCUGUCUGGGGCCGUCCCUUGAGACUCAGGGCUGGGCCCCCAGUGGAGGGGCUGCACCCACUCAGCCAACCGUUCUAGCAGGGUCCACAGCUGGUCCUGGAGGUCGGAGAGAUGGCAGGACUGGUGGGCAGGGCCCUCUGCAGUCUGCUCCUGCCCGUCCAGGUGAGUUCAGCUCAGGGAGGCCCUGAGACCCCGGGCUGCUCCCUUAGAGCCUGCUGUGGGCUCAUUGCCCUCCACUGUCCAUCACCAGAGGCAGGAGGUGGCCAACAGGCCAGGAUGUUAAAGUGCACAUGUGAGCCAGGUGUCCCCAGAGAAACGGAACCAAGAGGUGCCUCCUUUCUGGCUCUUUUUACACACACACAAACUCACACACUCACACUCACACAUACUCACACUCACCCACACCCACUCACACACACUCACAUGAACAAAAACUCACACACUCACACACACAUGCUCACUCACUCACACAUGCACACUCACACACAUGCUCAUCACACACUACACACACCCACACACACCCACACACACUCACACACCCACACAUUCACAUGCACAGACACACACUCACACAUAUUCACAUGCACACACACAUUCACACUCACACCCACACACACCCAUACACACUCACACACACACUCACAUGCACACAAACUCACACACACAUGCUCACUCACUCACACACUCACACCCACACACACCCAUACACACUCACACACACACACACUCACAUGCACACAAACUCACACACACACACAUGCUCACUCACUCACACACACACACUCACACACCCACACAUUCACAUGCACAGACACUCACACACUCACACACACUCACACACUCACUCACAGCUUUGCCGUAAGCCGUAAGCCCUUGCACUCAAGGAGGCCAGAGGGCCCCAAGACUCUCAGGUGGUGGCUGCUGUGAGCUCCCCUCCAAGGCGGGAGAAAGGAAGGUCCUGGUUUGAAGGCCACCGUGGGGAGGUGCUGCUGUCCACAGUUCAGGGGAUAAAUGUUCCUUUAGACAGAACAGGGACCCAGAAUGACACCGGCCCCAUGUCUGGAUAGCGGGUAGCCCGGUGGAGUCGGCACUUAAGUGACCCUCAC
rnacentral:lncRNA from 1 species